rnacentral:tRNA from 1 species
UCCCUGGUGGCUCAGACGGUAAAGAAUCUGCCUGCAAGGCAGGACACCUGGGUUCGAUUCCUGGGUUGGGAA